rnacentral:rRNA from 1 species
GAUGAACGCUGGCGGCGUGCCUAAUACAUGCAAGUCGAGCGAACGGACGAGAAGCUUGCUUUUCUGAUGUUAGCGGCGGACGGGUGAGUAACACGUGGAUAACCUACCUAUAAGACUGGGAUAACUUCGGGAAACCGGAGCUAAUACCGGAUAAUAUUUUGAACCGCAUGGUUCAAAAGUGAAAGACGGUCUUGCUGUCACUUAUAGAUGGAUCCGCGCUGCAUUAGCUAGUUGGUAAGGUAACGGCUUACCAAGGCAACGAUGCAUAGCCGACCUGAGAGGGUGAUCGGCCACACCGGAACUGAGACACGGUCCAGACUCCUACGGGAGGCAGCAGUAGGGAAUCUUCCGCAAUGGGCGAAAGCCUGACGGAGCAACGCCGCGUGAGUGAUGAAGGUCUUCGGAUCGUAAAACUCUGUUAUUAGGGAAGAACAUAUGUGUAAGUAACUGUGCACAUCUGGACGGUACCUAAUCAGAAAGCCACGGCUAACUACGUG